rnacentral:rRNA from 1 species
UACGGAGGGGAGCUAGCGUUGUUUCGGAAUUACUGGGGCGUAAAAGGCGCACGGUAGGGCGGAUUUGUAAGUCAAGGGGUGAAAUCCCGGGGCUCAACCUCGGAACUGCCUUUGAAUACUGCAAAUCUCGAAGUCCGGAAGAGGUGAGUGGAAUUCCUAGUGUAGAGGUGAAAUUCGUAGAUAUUAGGAAGAACACCAGUGGCGAAGGCGGCUCACUGGUCCGGUACUGACGCUGAGGUGCGGAAAGCGAUGGGGAGCAAAGCUAG